CCCCCCAUGUCAGUCACAUGCAUGCCACGUUCACUGGACAAGCACACAGUAGGAAACCAGAACAUCAUAACGUGUCCCACACAGCAGCUGACAGUGGGGUUACAGUAUAAAACUUGCGGGCCGCACUAACAUUACACUUUCAUAUUAAGGAUGGGGCCACAAAAUAUCGUCCCGAGGGCCGCGAGUUUGAGACCCCUGUGUUACAUGCUUGUUUAUUACUCAAGUUUCUCGCUCAUGGACGCAUUGGACUGUCCGUGAACGCCAGAGACCGUCUCAUUUGGAUUCCUAAUCGAUUUCAAUUUGGCACUUAAAUAAAUGGCUUUUACCAUAACUUUUCCACGCCAGAGCUAUCGACCUUUCAGUCAUGUGAUUAACCGCCGCCUCUUCUUAAACACAGAUGAGUGGGAGUAUCGCUUCACAUUCCAUCCGGUGUCGGACCUUCCUCCACCCGAGCCCUACGUACACUUCCAGAAGACGUACCCCAGCAAGCUGGGCAAGACUGACGGGAGAGAAAGUCAGGGUGUGUCCCCACAAUGUGCUGGCAAAAAUGAGCGAGGAGCUCCUCCUCUUCCUCCUUUACCCAGGUGAAGAAGAGGUGUCAGCAAACACGAACCCCGGGACUACUUUCUCUCUCUGUUUCGCUCAUUGGAACCUCUCCUGCGAACAAACGCGCUCUCAGUGCCUCGUACGAGUGAUUUAGGACUCCUUCACCGAUCAUCCCGUGUUUCGUAUUCUCUCUUUGGUACGACUUUAGCUUACCUGAGGUCCAGACCGGUUGUGCUGCUGUUAUUUAGGCCUUUAAAUAAUGGCUUGUUUAUUACUUUUAAGUAGUUUUUAACUCUCAGAAUUAUACUUCCUGAAUAUGUUGCUGUUAUUCUGUUCGAGGCCGAUUAUAAAUCUAAAUAUGCACAUAAGCACAACAAUAUCACUAUAAAACAGAGCCCAUUGUGUAACAAUAUCCAUACAAACAUCUUAACUAAUUCGACCCACUUGCUGUAGUGAGCGGUUCCCUUCCUUCCUUUAGCAGGUAUUUCUCUCUUUGUGCAUCUUAGAAAGCAGAAAUUCCACACAGGACACGUUGGGAGUAUUAUUUGUGUCCUUAUGCUGUUCCAAUGUGUCGGCCUUCAUCGUGUUCACGCUGGUCACGCAGUACGAGAACCUCCCGAUAACCGGUGGGCUUUUUUUGUACGAGAUGGACUCAAAGUUUGGUUUGAUAAUAAUAAUGUGCGUCUGUAGCAGUGAAGACCAAAGCCUGUUUAAUCUCCGGUACACCGUGUUCAGAGGGAAAACAAAAAAGUUGGACCUCCUUUUUGUCGCUGGACUUCAGUCAGAGGGCUUUGGUGACCUGGUUCCUGUGAGACAUUCCAUCAACUAACCGUUUUUUCACCCAUUUUCAUUUUACCGGGUAUAAUGGAUUCCAUAUUUUGCUUGCAAGACAUUAUAUUACACCAACCAGCUACGUCUCUUACGAAACAAAACACUUACUCGACAAGCAAACCAGCGUUGUUCAUGUAGCGCGUGCACCUGGGUCAGUAAAUGCAACCGAUCAGACGGGUUUAUCUCCUCUGCUGCCUCUCGACUCGCGUCGAGCCGUAAUUUUCUAUUCAGGAUUGUAUUUUCAGGCUGCUUCAAAGAGUUAAGGGAGUAAGCCGUCGGUGCCUUAAAGUGUGUGUGUUCAGCUGGAUUGAUCACCUCUGCUGAUGGUAAAAUGAAGCCUGCAGUAGAACACUCGGCCUAGCGAAGGAUCCACACGCAGGCCGACAUGCAACCCAACUGAGAAAUGACCACGACCUCUUUCCACCGCUGCAGAAACACGUCGGGGGGAAAAGGGAUGUGGUUAUUUAUUUAUUUUGACAUUUUUGCCAAAGCCAUGUGUGCCUUCAUAGUACAUGCAUCUCCAUCUGUGUCUUCUGUUGGAACCACUGAGCGGUACUUUUCUUUUCAUUGUUAACUGUGACGAUGUCUAUGAUUGUGAUGCUUUUUUGUUCAUUGGAAGACAUAUUUUUUUUAUUUACUAUUUUGCUAAAAGCUGCGUUAAUUUGGCACGAGGGGCCGUGUGUAUCUGAUUUAAUCAAGAGGUAUUGAAGGACUGUAUUAUUUUAAGUUAUGUUUCUAUCCUGUAAUAUGUUGUUUUGCUUCCCCGUGCUCGGCUUUGAAUGGUCUUUUGUACGUGGGAUGUGCUAUUAUCAUGUGUCGGUCAAAGAGACAAUCAUAUGGAAGUAAAGAUAUUUACAUCAAUAAAUAAAAAUGCUUUAAGAUGCUUAUUGUGCUUUACCU
ensembl:lncRNA